rnacentral:sRNA from 1 species
AUAGGUUCCAUAAAUUUUCUAAAACAGCGUCACCAGCUGGGAGGCAACCAUUUCACACUCAAAACACAAGUUUUUUUUUUUCCCCCACAAGUCUGGGUGGCUUCUUCUCAGGCACCGCGCUCUUUGUGUGGGGAUUCUUGGGGGUUUUGUUCCAGCUCGUGACUUGGGAGAGAAGCCAAGCCAAUUAGGGGUGAAGUCCAGACCUGCAGAACAUGCUAGUGUUGCCAAGAAGCUUAGACCCUGACCCAGGAUGCAGUGGGCAUGGAAGGACACGGUCCUUGGCUUGAUGGCUUCAUAAUGCUCAGUUCAAAUCCCACCUCUUGGCCACAUGCUGAGUCAAGAUCAGUGGUGAUAAAAUCCUUCCGAUGUGGGAAGUCCGACUCAUCCCUUUCUACCUUCCAUUCCGGUCAAGGCCUGCCAAGAAUCCCACCGUGAGUAGUGUGCCCUUCUGACUGCAGGAGAGGAGAGUUUCUGCAGAGUGCUGUGAAUUGGAUACUUUAGUAUUUUGCAGAGCCGCUAGCCUGAGGCUCUUACUAGGACGUGGGCAGACAAUCAAGAAUCCCGCGCUGGUUCAUGUGCUCUGCCAGGGCUCUACUGCGUGCAGGAAGUGUCUUUCUACCAUCAAGGCCAUUAAAAACCCAGGCUAGUUGAAAUGAACCUAUUGAGUCAGUGAGGAGGUGGAUAAGUGAAGACUCAUUACAGACCCAGUCAGCGCUGGCACAGAGCCGACUGGAGGAAGGUCAGUCAGGAGCAGAAAAGGCCAUAAAUUGGGAUUCUUGGUUCACAAUUCCAUGACUACCUACCUGAGACACUUUUGUCAGGCCACUCAACCAUUCUGGACUGUGAUUUCUUAUCUAUAGACUGAAGAACUGAGACCUGGAAGCCAGUGGCCAACACUGCUUACUAAGUAGUAUAAUAAUUGUUCUGAGAGAAUGAGAAAACCCAGAGAAGCAGGGCUGACCUGGGAAUCUAAGCCUUCAGUCUCUCAGGGCUACCGUUGAGUGAUUUGCUGCUGUUCAUCUGAACCUAGGCUGACUGGUACUUUCAGCAAGUCUACCAUUCUAACCAUUACAGACCUCCCCCGCCUCUGGGGAAGGGAAGCACCGUGCACACUCUCUGAAGUUGGGGAUCUUGGAACUAGUUUCCCAGUCACUUUAGAUUGGUAACUCUCCAUUCGCUAAUGGGGACCGAAAUACCAAUCCUUGAGGGCUGUGGUUACAAUGCAUGCUAAUGUGUCUUGAUGUUUUGCAGAUGGACUAAUUUGCAUAAAUCUGCUUCUGAGCACAGCUGGCCUUGCAAUAGGAAAGCGAGUUAUACCCUUUCUCGACUCACCUCUUGCUCCACUGAGUAACUUUUGCACAGCAAGUCCCCACCCAGUGAACCAGAUCAGUCACAGAAGACACCCUGCCUCCGGCUUCCCCAGCAAGCUCCAAUCUGAGCACGCUGAAGUGGUCCCCACAGCUCUGCUUCUUUAAGUCUUUCCACUUCUUCCUGCUUCUGCGCCUCUGCUGAUUGGCAAAGCACAAUGCUGGUGGCCUUGCUGUGGCAACGAGGUGGAAGCGAAUGGCCUACCUGCUCUUUGUCUCGGGAUUGGGGAUGACUUUUGUUUCUACACAGAGUGAGAUAGCUUCUUGCUGUCAUUUUAGAAGGACAGAGCCAUAUGAGCCUUCAUGGGGAGAAGGGAAGAGGGCUGUGGAAUAAGGUAACCUGUCCUUUUCGAUGAACCCUGGAUUCUUAAAAGAGAGGCAUUGGUUCAGAGUGAAAUGGACAUUCUCCUGGGUCAGGCAGUGACAGACAACAGUAGGCUCUAAGCAGAGUGCUGUCUAUGACCACCUUUCUAACCCCAGAGAAGACGUUAGCAUCUCUGAUCGCCCACAGUGAAAUAUGGAUGAUUCAGCUCCUCCAGGGGUAAAGUGUGUUCUACUGCAGAUGCUGCUGACAUCAUGGGCAACCUACUCCAUCUGUCAUUUCCUCCCAGCAUUCUGCUGUCUCAGGGCUCUUGCUCUCAUCAUGUUUCCCAGCAGAGCCACAGGUGGUAAAGCCAGUUGUCAAGCCAUAGAUGACAAGUGUGACCCCACAAUGCCCAGCCAGGGCAUGAGGGAGGGGUUACCCUAAGGGAGGCCAGGCAGGGGCAUCAGUGCUCAGGAAGAGGGGUUGGCAUACCCUCAAGGUCUAAAGAAUAAGCUUCACUCCACAGAGAAGACAGACCAGUGGUUGGUUAAUUAAUAAACAUCUCUUGUCUCCCA